rnacentral:ribozyme from 8 species
GGAGAGUUCUGCGAAGAAGGUCCUCGCCUCUAAUCGGCCAGCUCUCGGCUCGGGGCCUCAGCAGCCAGAGAUCUGACCGCCGGCUGUCAUUGUCACUGACAUUAUGCCCCUCGGCCGCUGGACUUCCACCGAUGUCUGCGAGAAGCUGGAAAUGUCGAUGUUGCCAGCAGCGUCGAGCUCAACGGUAGUC